GUGUGUAAUAAUCCUUAUUCAUUGCUAUGUUGUUAGAUUCUACAUCAUACAAUAAGAUGUAUGCAGCUUUAACUAAACCAAGGUUGAUUGUUGGAAUCAUGAAAGCUUCCCCAAUGUCUGAAACAAGUGCAUUGAAGGAAUUUCACUCAGUUCGCACCCAAAAUGAUCAGCUACUCUUUUCCUGGAAUGUUCUGCAGGUAUAUCCUUGCUGUAAAUCCCUUCAACAGCAAUUUGGACAGGGAUAAUCAAGAGGUUAAUGUAGUUCCCCAGGUUAAAGUGCAUUAUGCAAAAUUAAAUUAAAAAUGGUGAAGCUGUUGUAAGAAAUGUAAAAGUUGCUCAGGAUUUUGAGUAUGUUGAAGAAAAAUAUCAUCAAGUGUUGUGCUCUGCACUCAUUGAUGAGGAAACAUUGAGAAAAGCCAAAGGUGAUCUUUUUGAAUGACUCAAUUGCCAAUGAAUUCCAUGUUGGACAAGCAAUCAAGAAGUGGAGCUAUAUCAAAAAAAAGCAAGAAGACAAAGCAUGCCAGCUGUACAUUUUCCCCCAACUAAGCCAGGUUUUACAAAGAGGCAUUCCUUGCUUUGAGUUAAUUUGAAU